AAGUCGUAACAAGGUUUCCGUAGGUGAACCUGCGGAAGGAUCAUUACAAAUAUAAAAAAAAAUCUUUUAGAUUUUGUAUAUUAAUUUUUUUUUUUUUUACAGUCUAUGAAUUUCAUCUUUGUGUAUUGUAGUAGUUUUAUCUGCUAUAUUAACAAAGCUAUGGAAGUCAGUUACUGAGAAGGUUAUAAUUCUUCUCUGAAUCCGAAUAAAUUCUAUAUUAUCUAUAUAACUUUCAACAACGGAUCUCUUGGUUCUC
rnacentral:misc_RNA from 1 species